rnacentral:lncRNA from 1 species
GCAGAUUUAAAGGUAUAAACACCAUACAUAUUUUCUCCAUCACUAUUGGUCAUUUUAGAAACGGAUAUAAUUAUUAUACUACCAACUAAAGCCAUAUUACAGUGAACCAGUUCCUGAACAUACUACCCUGAAGGUACUACUGUCUCUUAUUCCUUUGGACAGGUUUGGGUGUAUCCCUGUCCUGGUUCAGUAUUGAGCUAUUCACUUCGAGUCGGACUCCCUCAUCUCUGUGUAUUGCACUAGGCAGACCAGAUUUAAAUUAUAGUUUUUAUGAUGCUUGCAGUGCUCUUUUGAGUGAAUAAUUUUGGGGAUGCUAAAAAUAUAAAGUAUAGUUCCACUCAAACCCUUUAAACAGUAAUGCUAUAAUAAUUUUGUCAUAUAUGGACUAAUUAGCACGAUAAUAUUUUUUUCGCAAUAGAAUUGUGUUUUAAAUGACAUUUCUCAAGGAAAUGUUAUGUAUUUAACGGCUAGCUAAGCAUUGCAUUACAUAACAUAAAACUACAAUAGCUAGAAUGUCAGAGUAAAGUUUGCUAUAAAAGCCUACAUUUGUGUCUUAGGGCAUUCAAGAGAAACCCCAAGUUAGUAAAUGGAAUUGGGGAGUUAGAAUAAAUAGCAUGAUUAUGGAAUUAUGUGUAAAGAAUAAAUAACAUAGCUUUGGCAAUGAACACAUGCAUGAAUCAGCUUCUAAAAGUAGAGCAAUCGCCAUGGAGAACGCUUUUCUUGCGGAUUGUUGUACUGGUAACAUUGGCAAAGAAGUGCUCUUUACACAGGCAUCAUACUUUUAAAUUCUGCUCCAAUAUGUAUAUAUAUAUAUAUAUAUAUAUAGAAAGUGUUAAAACAGAAAAAUAUCACAUACUUGUGGAUGAGUUGCUAUAUGCAGAAGCUUGAGGCUGAGUGAGUAAUAGCUGAACAUUAAAAGGACUUGAUACCAUGGGAUUUUAAACAGCAUCAUGCAAUGGCGUCAGCUGGCAUGCAGUAAGAACUACACAAGAUGCUAAAUGUUUUAAACCCUGUGGUUUCUCAUCUGUUAUUUAAGCCUUCCCUCAGCAAUACGCAAGAUGAAUAAACAAAAUUUGAAUGUCUUUCCUUUUUUUUUGGCAUUUGCAGAUUAAAAAUAUUUUAGGAUAUUUCCUAAAUAUUAAUUAACUUUUUAAUGGUUGCCCAUGAACAACUGAAAGCAAAAGAAAGCAGUAUUGUCAGCUAUAAAUUAUGCAUAAUGCUCUUAUGUUCAACCAGCCCAAAGCUGGCAUAGCAUAUUGGGAGUCAUUUCAUGGCAGCCAAGGAUUUAUUCACUAAACAUUUAUUUUCAUGAGUUUACAAUGGUGUUGGAAAAUCUAAGCAGCUGAAUUGGAUGCACAAAAUACUUACAAGGAAAGUAUCAAAAUUGCUAUUUAUUAAAUUAACAUAUAUUCAAUUUCUUUCCCUCCGAUAAAAUAAAUCAAUGAAGUGAUCAACAACAGGGAAAUUGUUACAAAACUAACAUGGUUACAUUUAAUAGUUAAAUAAAUAACAAUUGGUGUUGGAUGUCUGCUUUUCAAAUUAUUAUGCCAUGAUGGGGGUAAUUUGAAUUGAGGGCUUGCUAGUUCACCCUGAAUUAAAAAUUGGACUAGAAAAUCAAUACAAAAAUGUAAAUGUUAUGUCCUGUCUUGACCGUGCAACUUUCCAACAGACCGCCUUAAGGUAUACAUGGGAGGCAUUUAUAUACUGGGGAAUGUAGCAGAAUUUGGGUGUUACAGCAGAACACACAGGUCUGUGAAAUCAACACAAAAUGCAAAGUGUGGCUCUCGUAAUGAUGUGGACGUUUGCACAUGUGUGCACAUAUCGGACGUAAGUAUGCACGAUCGCACCGGAGGGAAGGCAGAGAGAGAUUGCUUGGAGGAAACGGGAACGAUUGUGCGUCUGCAAAGAUAAUGAAAAUGCAAGUGUCAGGACCUACUCUGUCCUGUUAAGAGGUCUGGCCUUGGCUUCCGGUAUCCAGUACUCUUUUUACAAUUCUUGUUUAGUUUUUCUUGGUUUUUCUGGUUUUGUUUAUGCUGGGUUUUCUGGGUUCAUUCCUGUAUUCCGUUCCUUGAAUUCCCAGUAUCUUGGAUUCCUUUAAAUGUUUGUUUUAUGUUGCCACACCUGUUCCUUUUCCAUUUAUCCUUUUUGUUUCAGUUGGUUCCUGCUGGCAGUUGCUCCAAGUCCUCUGCCCUUUCUUGCAGGUAAGUGCUGUGUGUGUUUUAUUGUUUAUUUAGUCAUGCAUAUCUGGGUAGAUAGGAACCCACCGUAAUUGGAGGACUUUGACGCAGUGGUGGGCUGCAUACAUCUUGGCCAUUUAUGUAUGUCUAAAUCUCUAAAUGUUUUACAUAUAUAGUACUUAGGUUUGUCUCCUCUUGUUUUGCCUAGUAUAUCUUGUCUUGUUUUAUAUUGUAUUCCCAGUCCAUGUACAGUCCUGUCCUGCCCCUGUUCUGUUAAUGUUUCCCUUAUGUAUUGUGGGUUUACCUUUCUAUCCUUCUCUGGUUCUGGAUUCUACUAGUUUUGUCUUGUUUUAUUGUUUGGUGUCUAUCCUAGUCUUGCCUUGUUUCUAGUACUGGAUACAUCUCAGCAUAUUUCUGCUCUGACAUCCGCUAAGCUGUAACAGGGUCUUGUUAUGUGGCCGCAAAAACGCUGGUGCUCAACACCAGGGGGCAUGCAGUUACCCUGCACCAGGUCCUACGUAUCCACUACCACGCUGAAGACUCCCAAUCAACUACAUCAGGCACAGGGGUCCAGUCUAGAGACUGCCUCCCGUGACAGCAAGUCCCUUGGUAACCCAAUUUGCAACUUCUGGGAGCAUGGAGGAGCGUGGGGAAGGAGAAAUCUAGCCACACACAGGCUGAAGCCCUCUGAACCACGGAGGUACCCAUGUUGUUAGAAUGCCAUGUUGUAAAAGCUCUCCUUACAAAACUGAUCACAUUAGUCACUAAAGUGAUUUAAUGUUCAGAAAGGACAUACCUAUAAGGUGAGAUAAAUCAUGUGGAUUACUGAAAUUUCCAAAAUAAGUCAGAAUUUAACUUAUUUCCUUUUUCUCUGAUUGGGGCAGAGUUAUUAAUUAUUAUUUUUUUAAUUCUUUAUUAUUCUCUGCCCAUCGCCUUGGAAGGGACAAAUUGUAGUGUGACGAGACCAAUCUCGCCACAUUGCAUUGGAGAAGCCUGGUUGCUCGCCUGCUGCCUUUGGACUAUGGCCCCCUUUUAAAAGACUUUAUUUUUGCCUGCAGAAAAGCUGUAUUCGUGCUUUUCUGCCUGGGGUUCAGUAGAUUUGUUUGAAUGUGUUAUACCCCAGAUAGGAAUCCCAUGGAGCCCAUUUGUAUGAAACUGACUGUAAAGACUUUGGCUCCAUGGCGAUUGAACUGUAUUCGUGUAGUCUGAGUGCCAUUCACCUAAU